rnacentral:rRNA from 1 species
AUUGAACGCUGGCGGCAGGCUUAACACAUGCAAGUCGAGCGGUAGCACAGGGGAGCUUGCUCCCUGGGUGACGAGCGGCGGACGGGUGAGUAAUGUCUGGGAAACUGCCUGAUGGAGGGGGAUAACUACUGGAAACGGUAGCUAAUACCGCAUAACGUCGCAAGACCAAAGAGGGGGACCUUCGGGCCUCUUGCCAUCAGAUGUGCCCAGAUGGGAUUAGCUAGUAGGUGGGGUAACGGCUCACCUAGGCGACGAUCCCUAGCUGGUCUGAGAGGAUGACCAGCCACACUGGAACUGAGACACGGUCCAGACUCCUACGGGAGGCAGCAGUGGGGAAUAUUGCACAAUGGGCGCAAGCCUGAUGCAGCCAUGCCGCGUGUGUGAAGAAGGCCUUCGGGUUGUAAAGCACUUUCAGCGAGGAGGAAGGUGGUGAGCUUAAUGCGUUCAUCAAUUGACGUUACUCGCAGAAGAAGCACCGGCUAACUCCGUG